rnacentral:rRNA from 1 species
UAUUGGGCAAUGGGCGAAACCCUGAUGCAGCGACGCCGCGUGAGUGAAGAAGUAUUUCGGUAUGUAACGCUCUAUCAGCAGGGAAGAUAAUGACGGUACCUGACUAAGAAGCCCCGGCUAACUACGUGCCAGCACCCGCGGUAAUACGUAGGGGGCAAGCGUUAUCCGGAUUUACUGGGUGUAAAGGUAGCGUAGGUGGCAGGGCAAGUCAGAUGUGAAAACCCGGGGCUCAACCCCGGGAGUGCAUUUGAAACUGUCCAGCUGGAGUGCAGGAGAGGUAAGCGGAAUUCCUAGUGUAGCGGUGAAAUGCAUAGAUAUUAGGAGGAACACCAGUGGCGAAGGCGGCUUACUGGACUGUAACUGACACUGAGGCUCGAAAGCGUGGGGAGCAAACAAG